rnacentral:misc_RNA from 1 species
GCAAGAAGAACACCAAGCUGGAUGCUCAAGAGUUCAUGAGCUAGCUCAGCUGAUAAAGAUUCACCGCUUAUUAUCGGUAUGGUGGAUGAGCCAUCUGGUCUUAUCAUUUCAGCCAAAACCGAGGGGCUAAAAACAGGCUGUGUAUCAAGCAGUAUAAUCCGUUCAGAUGAAACCCGUGGUUCAAUGCCAACCGUGCAAUGUUUCGCCAUAGCCCUUGUUUCUUCUGUUUCUAUGGCAAAAGGAGGAAGCGUUCCAGGCAAGCUAGCAUCAAAACCAUAAAUUUCGUUCAUUA